UUAAAAAUUCCGGGGGCGUGUUUCCCCGGCGCUUUUUCAACCGUUGGCAGAAUUGGGGGGUCAAGUGUCCGUCACAAUUCCACCUUCAGAUCAAUAAUUGGGAUCUAAUUAUUGAAUAUCAAUUCUUGAACGUUCGCUGUAAUCACACCUACCCCACGCUAGGGGUCGAUGUAACGACCUAUUCUGUAAUGAAUAUUCACGUUCAAUUGUUGCUAUUUUUAGUUGCUGGCUUUAACGCGGCGCAGGUAACAGAUACAAGUUUGUUUGUCCAUGGAAAGAUAAUGUUACAAUCAUUUUUAAAUAACGUUACAGUUAUUUUUCAAUGCAAAACCCGUUACAAAAAACAAACAAACAAAACAAAAAAAAAAACGGGUAUGCGUUCCACGCAGCAACAGGUGCAGGAUUUGAUUUAAUUUGCCAACGCUGACUUCUGCAAAGAAUAACACCGGACGGGUCUUCUGCUAGUAGAUACAAAUAUAACCGAUUUUCAACUCUGAUAAGCGAUUUUUUAUAGAGGGAGAGAUGCUUGUUUUAGCUUUAUUAACGUGGUUUUGUUAAUCUCUGUCUAGUGUGGUACCUAUGGCUAAGAGAAACUUUCGUCGGAUCAAGAACGGGCCUACAUGAAGCAUUAGGAGACCGGACAGAAUCACUGCACAGGCCAAGCAGUAGCCUACUCCGCUUUCCCAGGGAUUUUGGGGACGGUUAUCAACAGCUUCAAUGCCGGAGCAGCCGACAUUGAAACACCCCUGCACGAGGCGACGCUUAACAAUUGACAAGUGCCAAUCCCCCUGUCACCACAGGGCCCCCCCCCGUUUGUCCUCCGGCUCGCCGUCCGCGGCGCCCGCGGGACAGCCGGGGCAGGGCGGGGAGCCGUCACCGUGACAACCGUCGCAUCGGGGGCCAGGUAGCGUUCCGGCCCGUCUCCCGGCGGCGAGCGGCCUCCCGACAUGAAAUGACAGGCCGGGUUGCCCCGGCGACGCUCCCGCAGAAGGGAAAUAUCAGGCCUUUGAAACGCGGCGGCCCCGCCGCGCCCCUUCCCACCAUGCCGUUCACCGCGCACCCGGCCCCUCGCAACGCCAACGAGCGCCCGACUCCUCACAACGCCAUCGCGCCGUCGCUGGGUAAUCAGUUCCCAUAAAUCCCGCUUCUUUUGUAGUCCCAGCUGCGGGAAUAAAGGCCUCUGAUGAAGAAAGGACUUUUGAAGGGACUGUAUGAAAGGGGGAUGACAGUGGAAAAAGAAGAGGAGAUGGUAGCGAACACAAAUACGGUUUCGCGAGUACGUCGGCCUCUUAGCUACAUAUUCUUUUUUUUCAAUCUCGCUUCUUUUGUGCCUUCUCUAAAUCACACCUCGUGCAAACUUCAAAAGUAGGGAGCGCAAACACGUCACUCUGAUCCCUGGGGGGAAAAAAAGGUGCUUGUGAGGUAAAGGAGAGAAGCCCUGUGCUACUCUGACAACAUUAGACUAGAGUUAAAAAAAAAAUAAAAUAAAAUUCUUUACAGCACUGUCCUCAUUCUGUGGCCAACCUAGAUCCACAAUGAAACAUCGUGCAACAAGUGCGGGCUGGAGACUGAAACAAAUUGUGUCCGAGUUUCUGCAGCGCUGGCUACAAAUGGACUCUCUCAGAGGUAUUUGCUCUCUCUCUUUUUU